AAAAAGCCCCAAAAUCAACCCUAAAACCUCAUUCUAGGGUUCCAAAACAAUAAAACCUCAAAUUUAAGGUCACUACAAGAAUUAAUAUUUUUAACGACCAUGUUUUAACGAUAGGAGUAAAAUUUGGUCGUUAAAAAUAUGCAGAUUGAGAUUCCCGCGGGCCGAGGCAAAUUAAUUGGACCUUCAACGACCAUUAUUAUUUUGGUCGUAUUAUGUUUGGUUCGUCCCGUCGUUAUUGCUAUAGAUUUGGCGCUUUUAUUUUUGCCGCUGAAUUUUUUUUCCAACCCUCUACGCAACCUCUACUCUACCAAUUAACAGAUCUAGAAACCCCUCUCUUUCUCUCUCUUUUUUUCUCUUUCUCACAAACCCCUCUGGCUCUUCACCUUCUUCGUUCUGCCCCUUUCCCCAUUCCACAAGAAAUCCCUAUCUCGCCGAAAGCCCGCACACUCCAACCCAGUUCGUCGGCGCGCGCAAGCUCUCCGAUGGCCUGAAGAGGAUCUUGCACACAGUACCCCUCUCACUAAUUUGUGGACGUGCGAGCCCUCCGACUACGUGAAACAAACCCCGCACCCUGCAGCCCUCUUUCAUUGCUUCAUCCCUUCAGUCCUCCGUCAACCUCGCGCAAUCUCUGUAAGUUGCGCCCUUUGUUAGCCCGCAGCAAGUCGUACUCGCGCCCACAGCCCCUUGCCCCCUGACUGUCCCCUCUCAUUGGAUCACAUGCCUUGUCGUCUUUUGGUCACCGCCGCCGCACCCGUCGCCGUACCCACUACGAUUUUUUGAUGAAAUCAAGUCUUUGUGCUCUUCUCAUUACUGGCACUUGAGUAGAUCCGACCAUUGCUUGCAUGGUAUGAUUCUUCUACCCAAUGUAUUUAUUUAUUACUAAGGCCAUUAAUGACAUUAGAUUUCAGUUGGGUUUUAAAUGCUUUUAAAUUUUGAUUUUUUUUUUGGGUAAGGUUAUCUAAUGCCCAUAAUGACACAUAGCUGG